rfam:Hypholoma sublateritium FD-334 SS-4 unplaced genomic scaffold scaffold_97, whole genome shotgun sequence.
GCCUCCUUGGCUCAGUUGGCUAGAGCGCAGGUCUCAUAUCUUUAAUGUGAGUGGUCCCAGACCAUGUAAUCCUGAGGUCGCAAGUUCGAGCCUUGCAGGGGGCA